rnacentral:rRNA from 1 species
UACAGAGGUCCCAAGCGUUGUUCGGAUUCACUGGGCGUAAGGGUGCGUAGGCGGUCGGGUAAGUCUGAUGUGAAAUCUCACAGCUUAACUGUGAAACUGCAUUGGAUACUAUCCGGCUCGAGGAAUGGAGGGGAGACUGGAAUACUUGGUGUAGCAGUGAAAUGCGUAGAUAUCAAGUGGAACACCAGUGGCGAAGGCGAGUCUCUGGACAUUUCCUGACGCUGAGGCACGAAAGCCAGGGGAGCAAACGGG